UUCGCAUGAACAACGCUUAAAAGAUGGCUUCUCGCUAUCACUUCUGGAUGGACCUGCGGUGCAUUAGCUUGUUGGUGGGGUAACGGCCUACCAAGGCGAUGAUGCAUAGCCGAGUUGAGAGACUGAUCGGCCACAAUGGGACUGAGACACGGCCCAUACUCCUACGGGAGGCAGCAGUAGGGAAUCUUCCACAAUGGGCGCAAGCCUGAUGGAGCAACACCGCGUGAGUGAAGAAGGGUUUCGGCUCGUAAAGCUCUGUUGUUAAAGAAGAACACGUAUGAGAGUAACUGUUCAUACGUUGACGGUAUUUAACCAGAAAGUCACGGCUAACUACGUGCCAGCAGCCGCGGUAAUACGUAGGUGGCAAGCGUUAUCCGGAUUUAUUGGGCGUAAAGAGAGUGCAGGCGGUUUUCUAAGUCUGAUGUGAAAGCCUUCGGCUUAACCGGAGAAGUGCAUCGGAAACUGGAUAACUUGAGUGCAGAAGAGGGUAGUGGAACUCCAUGUGUAGCGGUGGAAUGCGUAGAUAUAUGGAAGAACACCAGUGGCGAAGGCGGCUACCUGGUCUGCAACUGACGCUGAGACUCGAAAGCAUGGGUAGCGAACAGGAUUAGAUACCCUGGUAGUCCAUGCCGUAAACGAUGAGUGCUAGGUGUUGGAGGGUUUCCGCCCUUCAGUGCCGGAGCUAACGCAUUAAGCACUCCGCCUGGGGAGUACGACCGCAAGGUUGAAACUCAAAGGAAUUGACGGGGGCCCGCACAAGCGGUGGAGCAUGUGGUUUAAUUCGAAGCUACGCGAAGAACCUUACCAGGUCUUGACAUCUUGCGCCAACCCUAGAGAUAGGGCGUUUCCUUCGGGAACGCAAUGACAGGUGGUGCAUGGUCGUCGUCAGCUCGUGUCGUGAGAUGUUGGGUUAAGUCCCGCAACGAGCGCAACCCUUGUUACUAGUUGCCAGCAUUAAGUUGGGCACUCUAGUGAGACUGCCGGUGACAAACCGGAGGAAGGUGGGGACGACGUCAGAUCAUCAUGCCCCUUAUGACCUGGGCUACACACGUGCUACAAUGGACGGUACAACGAGUCGCGAACUCGCGAGGGCAAGCAAAUCUCUUAAAACCGUUCUCAGUUCGGACUGCAGGCUGCAACUCGCCUGCACGAAGUCGGAAUCGCUAGUAAUCGCGGAUCAGCAUGCCGCGGUGAAUACGUUCCCGGGCCUUGUACACACCGCCCGUCACACCAUGAGAGUUUGUAACACCCAAAGUCGGUGGGG
rnacentral:rRNA from 2 species